CAGCAGCACCACAAGUGGCAAUGAGACGCUCUGUGUUCUUCGCUGUGUGCCUCGGCCUGGUGCUGAGCCUUUUGAAAGAAGCCUCUGCUGAAACAACUGCUGCCACAAGAGUGACACCAAGCUCACCAACUACAGGAAACACUGCUGAUACUGCGACAGCUACAGAGCCACCAGAGGUGCCACCAACAGAACCUUCAGGUAAGGAGAAAAGCUUUCAGGCUUCCCCUUCUGGGGACAGCUUGCUGUAAGCAGGUUCCAGGGAGCACUGCAGAUACCCAAGCAGGGAGGAGUUCCCCUGCCUGGGUUUCUCCGAUCUCUUCUUCCACUGGAGACCAAGUAACCUAGACCAUGAUCUUGAAAAAUCUUCCAUUCUUCCAUCUUUCCCUGCUGGUCUUUGUUGUAAAGCAAAUGUGUUGGGGAAGAGUAGGGCAAGCUGCUCAUUCCAUGCUUGGUGCCCUUGCCUCCUGCUCCUGUGCCAGGGGGUGGAUGGCAAAGUACAAGGGGUUCCAUGCAAAAGGGGAGGCCAAGGCCUUGCAGGGAGCUGUUCCUGAGGCUGUUGGAGCAUGGGCAGGGAGGGAUGUGGGGCACAGCCCAGCAUGGAGAGGUCGGUGGCCAUGCCUGAGCACUACAGUGCGAAGAGUGCCUGUCAUCCUUGAUUCCCAGCCUGAUGCUGGGGAGGGAUGUCCACCGCAUCCCCAGUCACCUCCACAUCCUGAUAAUUCAGCUUUAGGAAAGAAUUUGUGCCUCUGGCAUCCAGCCACAUAAGCCUGUGCCCAAUGCCACUGUGAGGGAGUGCAGAUGUGGGAAGGAGGAGUCUAAGAGUAGGUUGUGAGAGAAGGAGUGUGAGAGAAAGACCACAGAAUUCAUCAAGG